CUACGGGAGGCAGCAGUGGGGAAUUUUGGACAAUGGGGGAAACCCUGAUCCAGCCAUGCCGCGUGUGUGAAGAAGGCCUUCGGGUUGUAAAGCACUUUCGGACGGAACGAAAUCGCACGGGCGAAUAUCUUGUGUGGAUGACGGUACCGUAAGAAGAAGCACCGGCUAACUACGUGCCAGCAGCCACGGUAAUACGUAGGGUGCGAGCGUUAAUCGGAAUUACUGGGCGUAAAGCGUGCGCAGGCGGCGUCGCAAGUCAGGCGUGAAAUCCCCGAGCUUAACUUGAGAAUUGCGCUUGAAACUACGAUGCUCGAGUGUGGCAGAGGGAGGUGGAAUUCCACGUGUAGCGGUGAAAUGCGUAGAGAUGUGGAGGAACACCGAUGGCGAAGGCAGCCUCCUGGGCUAACACUGACGCUCAUGCACGAAAGCGUGGGGAGCAAACAGGAUUAGAAACCCGUGUAGUCC
rnacentral:rRNA from 1 species